rnacentral:rRNA from 1 species
CGAUGAGUAGCUGGUCUGAGAGGAUGAUCAGCCACACUGGAACUGAAACACGGUCCAGACUCCUACGGAGGCAGCAGUGGGGAAUAUUGCGCAAUGGGCGAAAGCCUGACGCAGCAACGCCGUGUGAGGGAUGAAGGCUUUCGGGUCGUAAACCUCUGUCGGAAGGGAAGAACGGGCAUUGGUCUAAUAGGCCUUUGUUUUGACGGUACCUUUAGAGGAAGCACCGGCUAACUCCGUGCCAGCAGCCGCGGUAAUACGGAGGGUGCAAGCGUUAUUCGGAAUUACUGGGCGUAAAGCGCACGUAGGCGGCCUUGUAAGUCAGGGGUGAAAUCCCACGGCUCAACCGUGGAACUGCCUUUGAAACUGCAGGGCUUGAAUCCUGGAGAGGGUGGCGGAAUUCCUGGUGUAGGAGUGAAAUCCGUAGAUAUCAGGAGGAACACCGGUGGCGAAGGCGGCCACCUGGACAGGUAUUGACGCUGAGGUGCGAAAGUGUGGGGAGCAAACAGGAUUAGAUACCCUGGUAGUCCACACCCUAAACGAUGGAUACUAGGUGUCGGGGACUUGAUCUUCGGUGCCGUAGCUAACGCGUUAAGUAUCCCGCCUGGGGAGUACGGUCGCAAGGCUGAAACUCAAAGAAAUUGACGGGGGCCCGCACAAGCGGUGGAGUAU